GACGAACGCUGGCGGCGUGCUUAACACAUGCAAGUCGAACGGUGAAGCGCCUUCCUUUUUGGUGGGUGUGGAUGAGUGGCGAACGGGUGAGUAACACGUUAGUAACCCGCCCCCUUCUUCUGGAUAACCGCAUGAAAGUGUGGCUAAUACGGGAUAUUCUGGGUCUGUCGCAUGAUGGGUCUGGGAAAGAUAUUGUUUCGGUGGGGGAUGGGAUCGCGGCCUAUCAGCUUGUUGGUGUGGUGAUGGCCUACCAAGGCGGUGACGGGUAGCCGGGCUGGGAGGGUCGGCGGCCCCAGAGGGACUGAGCGAUCGCGCCUCCUACUGGGGGCGGCAGCAGGGAGGAUUAUGGCACAGUGGGCGGCAGGCUGAUGCAGCGCCGCCGCGGGAGGGAUGGAGGCCGUCGGGUUGUGAACCUCUUUCGCCAGUGAAGCAGGGCUGCCUCGUUUGUGGGUGGGUUGACGGUAGCUGGAGAAGAAGCGCCGGCUAACUACGUG
rnacentral:rRNA from 1 species